rnacentral:rRNA from 1 species
GGGGAAUAUUGCACAAUGGAGGAAACUCUGAUGCAGCAACGCCGCGUGAGUGAUGAAGGUCUUCGGAUUGUAAAGCUCUGUCUUCUGGGACGAUAAUGACGGUACCAGAGGAGGAAGCCACGGCUAACUACGUGCCAGCAGCCGCGGUAAUACGUAGGUGGCAAGCGUUGUCCGGAUUUACUGGGCGUAAAGGAUGUGUAGGCGGAUAUUUAAGUGAGAUGUGAAAUCCCCGGGCUUAACUUGGGGGCUGCAUUUCAAACUGGAUGUCUAGAGUGCAGGAGAGGAAAGCAGAAUUCCUAGUGUAGCGGUGAAAUGCGUAGAGAUUAGGAAGAAUACCAGUGGCGAAGGCGGCUUUCUGGACUGUAACUGACGCUGAGGCAUGAAAGCGUGGGGAGCAAAC